UUUUUCUUUAUUUCCUUUUGAAAAAGCAAACAUUGCCUAGAAUCAUAAGAACAAGUAUAUUGCAAGUUUAAAGCCAAGAUAUCAUGAGAAAAUUGCUUUGAAUUAAGGCCUUAUGAAUCAAGAAGGCAAUCUCGAUAUUUUUUUUCCAUAGAGGUGAGUGUAAUUUUCCCCAAUAAAGACAAAAUAUGUAACUUGUUCUAUAAUUUAUUUCCAUCCUUCUACAUCGCUAUCUCUCUUUCCAAAUGCAGCCCGUUUGCAUUAUUAUUAAUCACCUUUUUGUCCUAUACAUCCCAUACACCCAAUGCACCCAAAUGGAGUCCCUUUCCCCUUUUCUCCAAGGGGAAGUGUACAAGAAGCCUCAAGGAAGGGUGCGCCUACACAUCCCAAAAAGCCAUUUUCCCCUCAUUUCCUCGAAAAUGCAAACACGUAACGCUGACAUAUUAAUUUGGGAUAAUCACAAUUUUAUAGAAACUAUUAGAUUAAGAGGGGAAUAUUAAUUUACGUCCCCCAAAGCAUAUGGAUCUUAUUCUUGUCCGUUUCAACUUUCAAUAUCAUUUCUGGAUUCGCAGGUCGCAGGCGAAUACAUCGUAUUAUCAAGAUGCAUAUGCCCCGAUAGAGCUGGAAAAAAAAAACAAUCAAUUUCCCACUGACUUAAAGCCUCUUUCAUUUCAUUCUGAUCCUAUUCCUACCAACUAUGAUUUUUUAGUCUUUUGAAAAAAAUAAAAAAUUUACAUGUUGGCCAUUGUUUUGAAGGCAACGCAUCGUUUCGGACUACAGCGCCGGGAGGGUUUCGUGCCGCCACGAAAAUUCCGAAAAAUCGGUUGACCCGAAACUUAUAUCCGAAUGAUCAAACAGUCCUUCCAACGCAACGUACUCGCCGUAGUUAUUAGCAACGGUGUGAG
rnacentral:lncRNA from 1 species